GAUGAACGCUGGCGGCGUGCCUAACACAUGCAAGUCGAACGGUUAAGGCGCCUUCGGGCGCGAAUAGAGUGGCGAACGGGUGAGUAACACGUGACCAACCUGCCCCCCUCCCCGGGAUAACGCGAGGAAACCCGCGCUAAUACCGGAUACUCCGCCCCUCCCGCAUGGGAGGGGCGGGAAAGCCCCGACGGAGGGGGAUGGGGUCGCGGCCCAUUAGGUAGACGGCGAGGUAACGGCUCACCGUGCCUGCGAUGGGUAGCCGGGUUGAGAGACCGACCGGCCACAUUGGGACUGAGAUACGGCCCAGACUCCUACGGGAGGCAGCAGUGGGGAAUUUUGCGCAAUGGGGGGAACCCUGACGCAGCAACGCCGCGUGCGGGACGAAGGCCUUCGGGUUGUAAACCGCUUUCAGCAGGGAAGAAGUUGACGGUACCUGCAGAAGAAGCCCCGGCUAACUACGUGCCAGCCGCCGCGGUAAAAC
rnacentral:rRNA from 1 species